rnacentral:rRNA from 1 species
UUGCACUCUGGCGGCAUGCCUUACACAUGCAAGUCGCACGGUAACAGGUCUUCGGAUGCUGACGAGUGGCGAACGGGUGAGUAAUACAUCGGAACGUGCCCGAUCGUGGGGGAUAACGAGGCGAAAGCUUUGCUAAUACCGCAUACGAUCUACGGAUGAAAGCGGGGGAUCUUCGGACCUCGCGCGGACGGAGCGGCCGAUGGCAGAUUAGGUAGUUGGUGGGAUAAAAGCUUACCAAGCCGACGAUCUGUAGCUGGUCUGAGAGGAUGAUCAGCCACACUGGGACUGAGACACGGCCCAGACUCCUACGGGAGGCAGCAGUGGGGAAUUUUGGACAAUGGGCGAAAGCCUGAUCCAGCCAUGCCGCGUGCAGGAUGAAGGCCUUCGGGUUGUAAACUGCUUUUGUACGGAACGAAAAGCCUCUUUCUAAUAAAGAGGGGUCAUGACGGUACCGUAAGAAUAAGCACCGGCUAACUACGUG